UAGGGAAUCUUCGGCAAUGGACGGAAGUCUGACCGAGCAACGCCGCGUGAGUGAAGAAGGUUUUCGGAUCGUAAAGCUCUGUUGUAAGAGAAGAAUGAGUGUGAGAGUGGAAAGUUCACACUGUGACGGUAUCUUACCAGAAAGGGACGGCUAACUACGUGCCAGCAGCCGCGGUAAUACGUAGGUCCCGAGCGUUGUCCGGAUUUAUUGGGCGUAAAGCGAGCGCAGGCGGUUAGAUAAGUCUGAAGUUAAAGGCUGUGGCUUAACCAUAGUACGCUUUGGAAACUGUUUAACUUGAGUGCAAGAGGGGAGAGUGGAAUUCCAUGUGUAGCGGUGAAAUGCGUAGAUAUAUGGAGGAACACCGGUGGCGAAAGCGGCUCUCUGGCUUGUAACUGACGCUGAGGCUCGAAAGCGUGGGGAGCAAACAGGAUUAGAUACCCUGGUAGUCCACGCCGUAAACGAUGAGUGCUAGGUGUUAGACCCUUUCCGGGGUUUAGUGCCGCAGCUAACGCAUUAAGCACUCCGCCUGGGGAGUACGACCGCAAGGUUG
rnacentral:rRNA from 1 species